GUCACUUUUUAAUUUUAUCAUCUUCCCCAUUUACGCCUCUAAACCCCCCCUUUUUCUUUCCCAUAACAAAUCCCUAGCGUAAUAGAAAAGUCUCGAAUCCAACAAUUUUCUAUUCAUCUAUUUUUUUUCUUCUUUCAGUCUUCAACAAUCUUUAAUAAUUCACAAAUUCAGCAGAUUUUUCACUUUCUCGUCCACAAAUUCAAAGGAGUGACAGUUCUGUUCUUAAUACUUUCACGUACUGUUGCCGGACUUUGUACAAGGCUUAUUUUGUAGCCAAUGGCCACAGUAAAUUAUGACAUGAAGGAAGACUCAAUGCAUUCUGUCUUUCUAGAUUCCGUAAUAUCCAACCUGGAUGAUGAUGCUCUGUCUCCUGAAGAUUUAGCAUGGGCUGAUUCUUGCCUGAACAAAGAGGUGGAUGCUUCUGAUGCCGACUGGAGUUCUAUUAAAGAUGCCUUGCUGGAGAUUAUUAGCUCUCAAUCAGAAUCACCGGCUAAUUUUUCUGCAGCGCAGAGCAGUAUGGAAGUGAUUGCUAAUGAGGCUUUUCGUUCUAGAGAAAAUCUGAGUAGUGGUGAAUUUGGCAGAGGAUCUGAUGAAGAUGAGGAUCUCUUGGAUGAAGAUGAUGAUUUUGGAGAAGUUGAAAGCAUUGAUAUAUCUGAAGAUGAUGGGGACGAUUUUGUAUCUAGAAAUAUGAGACUUCGGAUGAGAGGAAAAAACCUUAAUAAUGUUUUCCGGCCAAAUUAUUCUGAAGAUGUGAAAGUGGAGGACCUUGAUUCUGGUUUGAGCUCGAGUUUAUAUGAGGUGGAUACUUCACUGCAAUCCAUCUUCCAAGUUUGGGAUCUCGGGGUUUCUGACGAACAAGACGAUUUUACCAAACAAUUGAACAAAGCCAUUGAUGAUGGUCCUUCACAGAUUCAAUCAAUUUCUUUUGAUUCAGCAGCGUCGAAAGAUCAAAUGCAUGUGUCCAUGGAUGAUCUCAUUGCUGGCAUUGAUGGUCUUUCUCUGAAGCAAAAUACAAAAUGAGUCAUUUGUUUGCUGUAAUAUUCUCAUUUAGUUCCUGGUCAUUUAUAAAAUUUUCAUUCUCGCCUUCUAGCCUCUGAAAGGAACUUAUCCUACCUUAAUCCAGCAGCAAUAACAGAAGCGGCAGAAAUCAGAGAGCCUUAACUCUCAGCUCAUCAAAUGGCAUUGAAUGACAGAUUUCGACAUCAAAAUCGUGUGGGCAGAAACCAGACCUCGUUUACCGAGCCGGGGCCAUGCCAAGUCAGCAGGUUAUCAUCCACAUGGCGAAACGUGAGUGGAUGAAGCAUAAGAGCCUCAAGUGAGACAUCUUAUGAUAACAUGCAUAAAACUAGAGUUAUAUAUAUUUGAAGUACUGAUGCAUUGGUUGUAUAGCCUGUGUGUGUGGUAGAGCUUGCUAAGAGGAAGGAUAAGACUUAUAGAGCUAUUCAGCUUCUUAGCAUAUCUUUUGGUUAAGUCUUUCCUGCUUCUUUAGCACACAAUU